AGUCAACGUUGGCGGCGUGCGUAACACAUGCAAGUCGAACGAUCCUUAAGUGGCUUGCCAUUUAAGGAGAGUGGCGAACGGGUGAGUAACACGUGAGUAAUCUGCCCUCGAGCGGGGAAUAACGCCGCGAAAGCGGUGCUAAUACCGCAUAACACUCUAAAGCACAUGCUUUUGGAGUCAAAGUCUUCGGGUGCUCGAGGAUGAGCUUGCGUCAUAUUAGCUAGUUGGUGGGGUAAUGGCCUACCAAGGUUAUGAUGUGUAGCCGGCCUGAGAGGGUGUACGGCCACACUGGAACUGCGACACGGUCCAGACUCCUACGGGAGGCAGCAGUGGGGAAUAUUGCGCAAUGGGCGAAAGCCUGACGCAGCGACGCCGCGUGGAGGAUGACGGCCUUCGGGUUGUAAACUCCUGUCAGAGGUGAAGAAAGC
rnacentral:rRNA from 1 species